ensembl:lncRNA
GAGUUAGAGGACCAAGCCCUUUGUCUCUUUUCUGCUGUGUUCUGAACCGAUUCUCAAGGAAAACACAUGACAAACUGAAAGUCACUGACUUCUUGGGACUUUCAGAAUACUGAGUUUACAAGGUGAACCACCACCCCAAAAUCUGAAGAAAUGAGCACAUCCAGAAAGUCAUAUUUGAGAUCUGUUUCACUGAAGGAGAAGACACUAGACUCAUAAACCGUGUUUUUCUUUAAUCAGCAUCUGAGAAGCGUAAAUUACAAAAGCCAGUGUCUGCAUCUUCCUAAGGGCCUCCGUUUCCCUGCUGCUGAUACGUCUGCCAGCUUUCUGACUCACCAACAUUCCAUCCUGUCUUUCUUAGAACAAACACUUAAUGUU